CUGUCAUUUCGUAGUCAUCGGUGUUCAUUUGUAUUCUGGGACUCGGUUUGACUAGCCGAAAAUUAGUUACUGUUUGCCGUUCAUUUGUCUGGUGGUUGAGUUCGUCAGUCAUUGAAACAGUUGAGUCCUAAUUUUUGUAGUCGUACUACAAAGGAUUUUUCUCUGAUGCGAGAACUUACUUUAGCAUUCUGCAUGAAAUACAUUAUAGAUUCGUCCGCUGCAAGAUUAUGGUGCCUGAGUGUGGCAGAGAGGAAAGGGAACUCGAUCGGUGCGGUGUUGGAGCUCCUCGCGUGGGGCACACGUGCCGAUGUUAAUGCUGUGUACCGGAGGUGGUAAAAUAGAGCCACACGGUGUAAUACUGGCUGCCAUAAACCCUGUUGUCACAGCUGUGCUGGUGUGGCAUGACACAGCAGAAACUGCCAGUGACUGUGUCCACAUACUGGACAUAGAGACCACCGCUGUGAACCACCUUGUCCGUUACGUGUCUGUGGUACAACUAUUGGCAGCUGCAGACAAAUAUGACCCCCAUCUCCUAAAGGAGCCUCGUAAAGACAGUACUUGGUUGUAAUGGCCAACAAACUAGCAAAUGUCUGAAUGAUGGAUUUAAUGAAAGCAGAUGAGGAUUCCCUCUUUUAUGGGUCUACAGAAUGAACAAUUAAUGUAAUCUGAUCUGAUCUCGCGGGACUCUCUGGAUGUGUGGAGGAUGAAAUACUGGUGAGACGGGGUGGCCAGCUGCCCACAGGUUGUGGCAGAGGUGUUACAGUUAGUGGAAACAAAAAUCAGGCUUACGAGAACUUACUCAAACAAUGAAAAAUCCAGGAUGGAAUGUAACAGUAUUAUGAAAAGGAAAGUUGUUACCUUAUAGCAGAGAUGCUGAGUCGCAGAGAGGCACAACAAAAAAAAACUGUCACAAAGCUUUCGGCCAGUAAGGCCUUUGUCAAACACACACACACACAC